CACGUAGGCGGCCUGGUAAGUCAGAUGUGAAAGCCCGGGGCUUAACCCCGGAAGUGCAUUUGAGACUGUCAGGCUUGAGUAUGGGAGAGGGAAGUGGAAUUCCUGGUGUAGAGGUGAAAUUCGUAGAUAUCAGGAGGAACACCGGUGGCGAAGGCGACUUCCUGGACCAAUACUGACGCUGAGGUGCGAAGGCGUGGGUAGCAAACA
rnacentral:rRNA from 1 species